UACAGGGGGUGCAAACGUUGCUCGGAAUCAUUGGGCGUAAAGCGCACGUAGGCGGUUCGUUAUGUCGGAUGUGAAAGCCCUUGGCUUAACCGAGGAAGUGCAUCCGAAACUGGCGAGCUAGAGUACUAAAGAGGAUCGCGGAAUUCCCGGUGUAGAGGUGAAAUUCGUAGAUAUCGGGAGGAACACCUGCGGCGAAGGCGGGUUGCUGGGCCGACACUGACGCUGAUGCGCGAAAGCCAGGGGAGCGAACGGG
rnacentral:rRNA from 1 species